CCUCAAUUCGAGCUCAGUUUCAGCAGAUAGUUUGAUCAUGGCUCAGAUUGAACGCUGGCGGCAUGCUUUACACAUGCAAGUCGAACGGCAGCGGGGACUUCGGUCCGCCGGCGAGUGGCGAACGGGUGAGUAAUAUAUCGGAACGUGCCUGGUAGUGGGGGAUAGCUUGGCGAAAGCCAAAUUAAUACCGCAUAAGACCUACGGGGGAAAGCAGGGGAUCUUAGGACCUUGCGCUAUCAGAGCGGCCGAUAUCAGAUUAGGUAGUUGGUGGGGUAAAAGCCUACCAAGCCGACGAUCUGUAGCUGGUUUGAGAGGAUGAUCAGCCACACUGGGACUGAGACACGGCCCAGACUCCUACGGGAGGCAGCAGUGGGGAAUUUUGGACAAUGGGGGCAACCCUGAUCCAGCCAUGCCGCGUGCAGGAAGAAGGCCUUCGGGUUGUAAACUGCUUUUGUCAGGGAAGAAAAGCGAAGGGAUAAUACCCCUUUGUGCUGACGGUACCUGAAGAAUAAGCACCGGCUAACUACGUGCCAGCAGCCGCGGUAAUACGUAGGGUGCGAGCGUUAAUCGGAAUUACUGGGCGUAAAGCGUGCGCAGGCGGUCUUGUAAGACUGAUGUGAAAUCCCCGGGCUUAACCUGGGAAUGGCAUUGGUAACUGCAAGACUUGAGUGUGGCAGAAGGGGGUAGAAUUUUGCGUGUAGCAGUGAAAUGCGUAGAUAUGCAAAGGAUUACCGAUGGCGAAGGCAGCCCCCUGGGCCUGCACUGACGCUCAUGCACGAAAGCGUGGGGAGCAAACAGGAUUAGAUACCCUGGUAGUCCACGCCCUAAACGAUGUCAACUAGUUGUUGGGAAUAUAAUUCUCAGUAACGAAGCUAACGCGUGAAGUUGACCGCCUGGGGAGUACGGCCGCAAGGUUAAAACUCAAAGGAAUUGACGGGGACCCGCACAAGCGGUGGAUGAUGUGGUUUAAUUCGAUGCAACGCGAAAAACCUUACCUACCCUUGACAUGUCAGGAAUUGUGUAGAGAUAUACAAGUGCUCGCAAGAGAACCUGAACACAGGUGCUGCAUGGCUGUCGUCAGCUCGUGUCGUGAGAUGUUGGGUUAAGUCCCACAACGAGCGCAACCCUUGUCAUUAGUUGCCAUCAUUUAGUUGGGCACUCUAAUGAGACUGCCGGUGACAAACCGGAGGAAGGUGGGGAUGACGUCAUGUCCUCAUGGCCCUUAUGGGUAGGGCUACACACGUCAUACAAUGGCUGGUACAAAGGGCAGCGAAGCCGCGAGGUGGAGCAAAUCCUAUAAAGCCAGUCGUAGUCCGGAUUGCACUCUGCAACUCGAGUGCAUGAAGUCAGAAUCGCUAGUAAUCGUGGAUCAGCAUGUCACGGUGAAUACGUUCCCGGGUCUUGUACACACCGCCCGUCACACCAUGGGAGCGGGUUUUGCCAGAAGUAGUUAGCCUAACCGCAAGGAGGGCGAUUACCACGGCAGGGUUCGUGACUGGGGGAAGUCGAACAUCUUCUGAAUUCUCAUUCGGGAAGG
rnacentral:rRNA from 1 species